AAAUGGUUCUAAAAAUAAAAUUCACCCUGCAACAAUGAUUUGUUGUGCCUGAACGUAUUUAAAAAUGUUAAGGUAGGGCAUGGGGGAGGCCAGCACCGAUGCUUGUCCAGUAGGAUUGAAGGCAACGUGGCAACGUCUGCUUAUGCCCUGAAACUCACUGCCCUGGGAUCCUGCCAUCCAAACACGGGGACUGCAGGACUGAGGCAGCUCAGUGGGCAGCAAUGGGUGCUAAGUGAUGUGGGGUACGCGGGCUGGGGUGGCAUGUGGGGCGUGUGAGACCUGUCUGAGCUUGUCAAUGCACACAUCCUGAGGGAACAGAAUUUUCAAGCAACCCUAGUUUGCUUCUUUUACGAUGUGCACGUGUAGCUAUUUUUGACAAAUGAGAGCCUACUUCAUUAUCACAAAAGACACUCAGAGAGAAAUGACUUGCAUACUUUGCCGGGCCCAGAAAUAUUCCAUGACUUAUUUGGUGCACUUUUGGAAAACUUCCAGUUGUUUGCCUUUUUCAGGCAUGAGGUCACCGACCUUCUUUAAAUGGACCAAAUUGAUUUUGGCUUUACCUUCAUGCGUCUGAUUCUCAGCCUCCGGAGUUCUUUAAAUAUUUAAGCUGGUGGAUAUUAUGGAAGUAAAGGCGCUGGUGGGGACCCAGCCCAGGCGGGAGGGAGGAAACUGUUCCUCUUUUUGUCUUUUGUCCUUUCCUGCUCUGUGCAGGCCUCCACCACGUGGCUCCAUCAGCAUUCGCUGCAGCCCUGGGAGGCCCUAGGGCCAGAUCCUGUCCUCCUGUGACAGUUGGUUGGGGGGGGCUUCAGGCACAAGCACUCGGGAUGUGGGCUGGUCUGCAGUUUCCCUGGCAUGCGACACCUUUGGGACGCUUCCAGACCAAAACCAGAUCCUUGCUGAACAGAAUGACAUGGGGACUUGCAGCUCACUCGAGGUUAUGUGCCCAGGCCUCACCUGGCC
rnacentral:lncRNA from 10 species